rnacentral:tRNA from 3 species
GCACCCAUAGCUCAGUUGGAUAGAGUGUCAGCCUCCGAAGCUGAAGGUCGCCAGUUCGAUUCUGGCUGGGUGCGCCA